rnacentral:rRNA from 1 species
UACGAGGGGGGCGAGCGUUGUCCGGAAUUAUUGGGCGUAAAGAGCUCGUAGGCGGUUUGUCGCGUCUGCUGUGAAAACCUAAGGCUCAACCUUGGGCUUGCAGUGGGUACGGGCAGACUAGAGUGCGGUAGGGGUGACUGGAAUUCCUGGUGUAGCGGUGGAAUGCGCAGAUAUCAGGAGGAACACCGAUGGCGAAGGCAGGUCACUGGGCCGCAACUGAC